GCGACAAUUGCCCCUCCCCCACGUCGCAGAAGCACAACGGCUGAGGAUUCAACGUGUGUUUGCAGAGGAUCUACUUCGGUAAAAUCAAGAAUACCAGUUGAUGACUGCUGUGCAGUGGAAAUAUCGAUCAUCUUGCUUGAUAAAACCUCAGUAUAUCAUCAGGAGCAACAGGCCACAUAUUCAGCUAAAAAUCUUCUUUGCUGUUCUGCUGAAGAAAAAUACUCAUCAACAUCUUGGGUGGC